rnacentral:rRNA from 1 species
GAUAAACGCUGGCGGCGCACAUAAGACAUGCAAGUCGAACGGAAGUCGUUUUAGUGAAUUUGAUAUGAAAGAUUUAUCCGGAUUUGACGAUGAUCUAAAACAAUGGCUUUAGUGGCGGACUGGUGAGUAACACGUAAGCAACCUGCCUGUUAGAGGGGAAUAACAACGAGAAAUCGUUGCUAAUACCGCAUAUGCCAUAGGAACCACAUGGUUCUAGUGGGAAAGGAGUAAUCCGCUAACAGAUGGGCUUGCGUCUGAUUAGAUAGUUGGUGGGGUAACGGCCUACCAAGUCGACGAUCAGUAGCCGGACUGAGAGGGUGAACGGCCACAUUGGGACUGAGACACGGCCCAAACUCCUACGGGAGGCAGCAGUGGGGAAUAUUGCACAAUGGGGGAAACCCUGAUGCAGCGACGCCGCGUGAGUGAAGAAGUAUUUCGGUAUGUAAAGCUCUAUCAGCAGGGAAGAAAAUGACGGUACCUGAC